AACGAACGCUGGCGGCGUGCUUAACACAUGCAAGUCGAACGCACCGCAAGGUGAGUGGCGCACGGGUGAGUAACGCGUGGGAAUCUACCUUUUGGUUCGGAAUAACACAGGGAAACUGGUGCUAAAACCGGAUACGCCCUUCGGGGGAAAAAUUUAUUGCCAAAAGAUGAGCCCGCGUUGGAUUAGCUAGUUGGUGAGGUAAUGGCUCACCAAGGCGACGAUCCGUAGCUGGUCUGAGAGGAUGAUCAGCCACACUGGGACUGAGACACGGCCCAGACUCCUACGGGAGGCAGCAGUGGGGAAUAUUGGACAAUGGGGGAAACCCUGAUCCAGCAACGCCGCGUGAGUGAUGAAGGUCUUCGGAUUGUAAAGCUCUUUUGGCAGGGACGAUGAUGACGGUACCUGCAGAAUAAGCUCCGGCUAACUUCGUGCCAGCCGCCGCAGUAA
rnacentral:rRNA from 1 species